UGCUCGAUGGCCGUGCUUGUCUCGUGCCUGUGGGCUGGGCGCCUGAAGCAGGGCAAGGCAGAGCAUGCCGUGGCCUAUGAACUUUGCUAUUUUUCAGGUAUCAGGAAAUGGAAUCAGCUGAUGUUUGCAAGCCAUGCCCGACAUAAGAUUGUAUUUCUUGGUGUACUGUAACCGUAGAGGAUUGGUUGAUCAAGGACUCAUGUGACCAAGAGCAAUGGUGUUGUCGAGCUGCUGGACAAGUGAGAUAUUUUAUGUCUUCACAACCGUAUUGUCGAAUAUAACUUAUGGUAGAUCAUCUUUGUCUGAUAAAAUGUUGAAGAUAAAUAUGACUAGAAGGAGAAGAAGGACGUCCAAACCUUUUGGUGUAAAAGACUAUUGAUAGGAUGACAAUAGGAGGACAAGAGAUGCCGCAUUACCUCCUCGGCCUCUUCUUCGGCAAGGAUCUGCAGGUAGCGGCUUUUGAAGAGAACAGCAGUCUUUGGACUGAGCUAAUAUACGCCUGAGUCAAAGGAUUCAGUUCAUGCCUCUUAGUGUUGUUGUUUCAUUUAUGCUAGCUUCAUUAACAUGCAGCUAGAACAACAACAGCUAGAACAACAACAGAGGCACAAGCAUGAUGAAGACACUCGAGAGACCUGCAAUAACUCUCUUAUGUCUCCUCCGGCGCCCCAAACAUGCAGCUAGAACAACAACAGAGACACAAGCAUGAUGAAGACACUCGAGAGACCUGCAAUAAGUGUGCGAACCUUGGUGGAGACGAGAUAAUGGUAGUGUGAUUCAGAUUUGAGGAAACACCGUGUGACUUGCUUCUCUUCCGUAGAUGUUUACGCAUGAUAUUCUCUGCGAAAACUUGAUUUUUUUAUGGUUUGAGUUAAUUGAUGGUAGAUUGCUAUUGUUUGUACAUAUGUUUGUUAUGCACUUACCGUUUACUCAUGAUAUAGUUUUAACUCUCAAGCAUGGUUAAUAUAGUGUUCGGAGAAGAUGAGAAAGGAUCAUUUCUCUUAAAUGUUUCACCAAGGUACAUGGGUGCAACUUUGUUGUAUUGAACAUGAUUCAUUUGCAUUGGUUUAUCUUUGGGUGAUGCAGGCCCUAAUCAUAUUUACAUUUCCUUUCCGUUGUCGCUUUUAAAGACCAUGCUGC